GAAGAAGCGAAGCAGCCUGCACCUUAGCAGGAUCUACAGUUCUCAUCUCCUGUAGUGCAGCAGCAGCCAUUGCUUGAUAUAUCUCUGGCUGCAGACCCACCAUUGAAGCAUCAAGCCUCGGCUGCAUCCAUGGUGCAACUCCAAUUCCGGGGAAGUUCAGAGGUUGAAUUCCACGAUCUAGACCAUCUCCCCGAAGCCACAUUAGUUGAGAAUUCAAUCCCAGAUCAUCCUCUUUGAGACCAUGGAAAGAAGGAAAUCCAGUUGGCCAGGGUCGCUUAAGCCUGAGGGGAAAUGGAGAAGGAUACAUUGGGAAGGUUGUAAGUGGCUCGAUCUCCCAUAAGGAAACCCUUGGCUGUCUCUCCCCAGCUGUAGAUUCAUCCCAUCCAACCUUGACGGAGCGCCAGUGUGAAUUUGGCCACCGGGUAGAAUCUAAAUCACCGAUACCAGUAAUAGUGCCCAUGUAGCGACGAACACUUGAUUCUUC
rnacentral:misc_RNA from 1 species